rnacentral:lncRNA from 1 species
AUUUAUGAUCUGGGUUGAUAAUGGAUGUAGUAGAAUUUGGGAGUGAAGAAACUAAAGUGGAGGAGUUGAGAGAAAGCGCAAGAACAAGAUCCAAAUUUAAUGGGUGUCAUCUUUUGUGCAAAGGGGCUGGAAUAUGGGACAAGAACAGACCUUGGAGCUGUAGAGAAUUGAUAGCUUCAAGUUCUUCAUUAAAUUGAGAAAAUAAGUAAAUUCUGCACUUUUUCGUCUGGACCUGUCUUCAGUAAUCGAAUCAUAUCUGACAAAUCGUACAUCCGUUUUGAAUAGUACUUACAUGUCUGGAAAGCCGACGAAAUAACCGUCGUCUCGGUGCCAACCACAUAUAAUUUGGAUCAAUAUUGAGGCCUGGAGAUGCCUUUGAAGUUGGAGCUCUGAUGCAGAAUUAUGCAGAAAAUUCUGAUUAUGGGUUUAUAGCAUUUCAGUUGCAAAUUAUGCGUUUCGGCAAGCUCUGAAAGUGUCGCUGGUAUUGUUCAAGCUUCUUUUCAG